GCUAACUUAGCUUUUAAUCAGACUCAGCCUGAGAAUCCUGACUGAGACUACGGCACUGGAGCUCCUCUCAGCUGCGGCAUUGGAGCUCGUGCAGGUCUUGCUGCAUCUGUGGCAUUCACAGGUGCUGACCUUGGUUCACAGUCUAAGUCGGUGGUUCUUUCUACUCCUUUUCUGUUGUCGCUCCAGUCUUAGGGAGAUCUUGGUCUGCUUGCUGGUGAGUGCUAUACACACACAUUAGGGCUUUCCCAGCAGGAUCAGCACCAGUGAGUGUCUGGGGCCCUGAGACACCAAAGUCAUGUAAGUCAGGAAAGAGCCUGCUGAAGACAGUGCUUUCUGCAGCCCAGC
rnacentral:lncRNA from 1 species